GAUCCUGGCUCAGGACGAACGCUGGCGGCGUGCUUAACACAUGCAAGUCGAACGAGACGAUUUAGAAGCUUGCUUUAUUGAGUCGAGUGGCAAACGGGUGAGUAACGCGUAGACAACCUGCCGCAAAGAUGGGGACAACAGCUGGAAACCGGCUGCUAAUACCGAAUACGUUCUCUUUAUCGCAUGGUAGAGGGAAGAAAGGGAGGCUAUUCGGAGCUUUCGCUGAAGGGGGGCUUGCGUCUGAUUAGCUAGUUGGAGGGGUAACGGCCCACCAAGGCGACGAUCAGUAGCCGGUCUGAGAGGAUGAACGGCCACAUUGGGACUGAGACACGGCCCAGACUCCUACGGGAGGCAGCAGUGGGGAAUCUUCCGCAAUGGACGAAAGUCUGACGGAGCAACGCCGCGUGAACGAUGACGGCCUUCGGGUUGUAAAGUUCUGUUAUACGGGACGAAUGGCGUAGCGGUCAAUACCCGUUACGAGUGACGGUACCGUAAGAGAAAGCCACGGCUAACUACGUG
rnacentral:rRNA from 1 species